UGGGGAAUAUUGGACAAUGGGCGCAAGCCUGAUCCAGCAAUGCCGCGUGUGUGAAGAAGGCCUUCGGGUUGUAAAGCACUUUUAUCAGGAGCGAAACGCUGUCGGCUAAUACCCGGCGGAACUGACGGUACCUGAGGAAUAAGCACCGGCUAACUUCGUGCCAGCAGCCGCGGUAAUACGAAGGGUGCAAGCGUUAAUCGGAAUUACUGGGCGUAAAGCGUGCGUAGGCGGUUUCUUAAGUCUGCUGUGAAAUCCCCGGGCUCAACCUGGGAAUGGCAGUGGAUACUGGGAGGCUAGAGUGUGUCAGAGGGUGGUGGAAUUCCCGGCGUAGCGGUGAAAUGCGUAGAGAUCGGGAGGAACAUCAGUGGCGAAGGCGGCCACCUGGGACAACACUGACGCUGAGGCACGAAAGCGUGGGGAGCAAACAGGAUUAGAUACCCUGGUAGUCCACGCCCUAAACGAUGCGAACUGGAUGUUGGUCUCAACUCGGAGAUCAGUGUCGAAGCUAACGCGUUAAGUUCGCCGCCUGGGGAGUACGGUCGCAAGACUGAAACUUAAAUGAAUUGACGGGGUCAUAGCUGUUUCC
rnacentral:rRNA from 1 species